GCCUGGGUGGCUCAGUGGUUGAGCAUCUGCCUUCGGCUCAGGUCAUGAUCCCAGGGUCCUGGGAUCGAGUCCCACAUCGGGCU
rnacentral:tRNA from 1 species